rnacentral:lncRNA from 1 species
UGUUGCAGAGAGAGAGAGAGGUAAUAUAGUAAUAGUGUUGCAGAGAGAGAGAGGUAAUAUAGUAAUAGUGUUGCAGAGAGAGAGAGAGGUAAUAUUGUAAUAGUGUUGCAGAGAGAGAGAGAGAGAGGUAAUAUAGUAAUAGUGUUGCAGAGAGAGAGAGAAAGAGGUAAUAUAGUAAUAGUGUUGCAGAGAGAGAGAGGUAAUAUAGUAAUAGUGUUGCAGAGAGAGACAGGUAAUAUAGUAAUAGUGUUGCAGAGAGAGAGAGGUAAUAUAGUAAUAGUGUUGCAGAGAGAGAGAGAGAGAGGUAAUAUAGUAAUAGUGUUGCAGAGAGAGAGAGGUAAUAUAGUAAUAGUGUUGCAGAGAGAGAGAGAGAGAGAGAGAGAGAGGUAAUAUAGUAAUAGUGUUGCAGAGAGAGAGAGAGAGGUAAUAUAGUAAUAGUGUUGCAGAGAGAGAGGUUAUAUAGUAAUAGUGUUGCAGAGAGAGAGAGAGGUAAUAUAGAAAUAGUGUUGCAGAGAGAGAGAGGUAAUAUAGUAAUAGUGUUGCAGAGAGAGAGAGAGAGAGAGAGAGGUAAUAUAGUAAUAGUGUUGAGAGAGAGAGAGAGAGAGAGGUAAUAUAGUAAUAGUGUUGCAGAGAGAGAGAGAGAGAGAGGUAAUAUAGUAAUA